rnacentral:lncRNA from 1 species
ACCUUGGCAGUCCACGGCAAGAUAUGCACCCACCAUUUCUACAUUUCUGCUGAGGGCGAAACUGACUCCUACCUUCUUGAAAGCGAGCUAGUUGCUUUGCUACUCGCAUCCCAUGAUGUGUUUGAAUGAUGGCCUGCUUCAGCGUGACAACAAUGUUAUACUGCUAUAUUGAAUUCUAGCACAGAUAUUUUCAUUGUGAGGAGUAUUGUAUACUGAACAAUGGGCGCCAUUUUUUAAAUGUAUUUCCUCAUGCCAAUCGAAUGAGUAGUGUUUGUUUUUCUCGUUUUUUUUUUCCACUUUUCUUUUGCGGCACCCAUUUGAAAAACUGAAAAACUGGAGCUUAUUGCGGAAGCCACAAACUACCCAAAGAGAAUUUGGUGCCAUGUGCCAUCUACGAUACUUCUUUCUGCAGAGCAUUUCUGAAAAACGCCAGCAUGGCCAAACAGCGAUUCGAAAAAGCUGCAAGACAGUGGAAACCCAUAAACUACGCCAGUAGUGCAAGGAGCAUAUCUGUGGACAUGACUGGAGACACAUUUGUUCCCUUUCCCUGGCUGCUGACACAAUGCUCUAUCCACCAAAGUACACACAUUAUGCACUUUAUUACGUGCUGAGAAUGACAUGUUUAUGCAAAAACGAGCACCAACAUUUUUCAAACCAUGUGCUAUCCUGUGUAUGUAUAGGAUAACUGCCUGCCUCUUUUUCUUGCUAAUUUCUAGUGCACUUGAAUCACAAUGAUAAGACUUCUCGAUCUUUAAAAUAAGUUUUUCCGACAAGGAGCAAAUCACGUCACCCAGAAAGCCAGAAUUUGCAAGGCGAGCAACUUGUGCAUCAAAUGCAUGCGCCAUAAGGUGCUCGCGUAACUUCUGAAGAGCGGCACCCAGCACAGUUGAUGCAAUGGCUCCCUGUAUGGUUUUGAGUGGCCAGAAUUAAAAUUUAGAAUUGGCUUUAUGAAUCUAGGUUGGUAUUGCUAUAUAUGUGAUCUUUGAUGAAAGCCUGUCUUAAAUCAAGAAACUGUAGCUCAUCAAUUUUUUGAAACUCCAAAGUGAAACGCUGACAUUUCGUUUUCCUUAACAUCUUUCUUUAUAUUAGCAAUCAGUAAAGAGCAAUUGUUAAUGUCCAGUAGAACGAAGAAGUCAUGGACAUAUCAAACAGCGUGUGAUGAUAACCAAUUCAAAUGCUUUUGCAGCUGCCCGUCUACAUACCCAAGAAAAAUAUAACUAAUUACAGGUAUAUUCAUGAUUCAAUGCAGAUACCAGAUUUUUGGACAAAAUUGUUUCCCUUCCAAGACACAACGGUAGAAUUUAGGUGGCCUGCAUGAGCUCUAAAAACGACGCAACAGCGAUGCCACACUGGCACUGAAACAACAACUCAUCAUUAUCUUCUCUCAUGCACUGCUUUAUACAAUUCAAAUCUUCACAUUGGGGCAAACAAUAAUAUAAAUCUUUUACGUCUAUACCGAAUGCAUUACGGCACAAAGAAGGUUGUUCACUUAGUGAUAAGAUGAUAGAUUCUGAGUUAGAAAUUCUUAGCGGAUCACAAGUCUUCAAACGCUCCGAAUUUCUUUGAAUAAACUCUGAAACAUUUAUUUA